GACGAACGCUGGCGGCGUGCCUAACACAUGCAAGUCGAGCGGAGACAGUGAGUAGCUUGCUAUGAGCUGUUUUAGCGGCGGACGGGUGAGUAACGCGUGGGCAACCUUUCCCAGACAGGGGAAUAACACACCGAAAGGUGUACUAAUACCGCAUAAGACCACGGGAUCACAUGGUUCUGGGGUAAAAGAUUUAUCGGUUUGGGGUGGGCUCGCGUCCGAUUAGGUAGUUGGUGAGGUAACGGCCCACCAAGCCGACGAUCGGUAGCCGACCUGAGAGGGUGAUCGGCCACAUUGGGACUGAGACACGGCCCAAACUCCUACGGGAGGCAGCAGUGGGGAAUAUUGGGCAAUGGAGGAAACUCUGACCCAGCAACGCCGCGUGGAGGAAGAAGGUUUUCGG
rnacentral:rRNA from 1 species